rnacentral:rRNA from 1 species
GAUCAUGGCUCAGGACGAACGCUGGCGGCGCGCCUAACACAUGCAAGUCGAACGGAGCUACUGUUGAAAGCUUGCUGGAUAUAUAGCUUAGUGGCGGACGGGUGAGUAACACGUGAGCAACCUGCCUUUCAGAGUGGAAUAACGUUUGGAAACGAACGCUAAUACCGCAUAAUGUCAGAAGACGGCAUCGUCUUUUGACCAAAGAUUUAUCGCUGAAAGAUGGGCUCGCGGCCGA